UAAAUUGUUAUUUACGUGUCUUCUGAAUUUUCCAUUUAAAAAU
rnacentral:sRNA from 1 species